rnacentral:rRNA from 1 species
UGGCGGCAUGCCUUACACAUGCAAGUCGAACGGCAGCACGGGAGCAAGUCCUGGUGGCGAGUGGCGAACGGGUGAGUAAUAUAUCGGAACGUGCCCAGUCGUGGGGGAUAACGUAGCGAAAGCUACGCUAAUACCGCAUACGAUCUAUGGAUGAAAGCGGGGGAUCGCAAGACCUCGCGCGAUUGGAGCGGCCGAUAUCAGAUUAGGUAGUUGGUGAGGUAAAGGCUCACCAAGCCGACGAUCUGUAGCUGGUCUGAGAGGACGACCAGCCACACUGGGACUGAGACACGGCCCAGACUCCUACGGGAGGCAGCAGUGGGGAAUUUUGGACAAUGGGCGCAAGCCUGAUCCAGCAAUGCCGCGUGCAGGAUGAAGGCCUUCGGGUUGUAAACUGCUUUGUACGGAACGAAACGGUGAGCUCUAAUACAGUUUGCUAAUGACGGUACCGUAAGAAUAAGCACCGGCUAACUACGUG